UAGGGAAUCUUCGGCAAUGGACGAAAGUCUGACCGAGCAACGCCGCGUGAGUGAAGAAGGUUUUCGGAUCGUAAAACUCUGUUGUUAGAGAAGAACAAGGACGUUAGUAACUGAACGUCCCCUGACGGUAUCUAACCAGAAAGCCACGGCUAACUACGUGCCAGCAGCCGCGGUAAUACGUAGGUGGCAAGCGUUUUCCGGAUUUAUUGGGCGUAAAGCGAGCGCAGGCGGUUUCUUAAGUCUGAUGUGAAAGCCCCCGGCUCAACCGGGGAGGGUCAUUGGAAACUGGGGGACUUGAGUGCAGAAGAGGAGAGUGGAAUUCCAUGUGUAGCGGUGAAAUGCGUAGAUAUAUGGAGGAACACCAGUGGCGAAGGCGGCUCUCUGGUCUGUAACUGACGCUGAGGCUCGAAAGCGUGGGGAGCAAACAGG
rnacentral:rRNA from 1 species